CUUAUUUUGAAAUUUUAUAUACUAAAAAUGGAACAAUAAAGAAAAGAUUAGCAUUGUCUCUGUACAAGGAUGAAAUGCAAAUUCAUGAAGCAUUCCAUAUUUUU